GGAAGGCAUUAUUUGUCUCAAUCUAUCCCCUCUCCCCAACAGUGAACAAGAAAGCAGAUAUCCUUGCUGACUGUUGGCAGCCGUUGUGGGACCACAAAGGCACCAGCCUCAGGAGAUGGGAAGACUGAGUUGCCAGGGACGUUGCUGAGCCAUUAGAGCCAUCCUUACCCACAAGCCCACCCCACCUUGGGACUUCCUCUUGGGCAAAACAUGUCACCUUCCCAUGUUUUCCAAGUCAUAAAAGUAGUACAUGUCCAUCACAGACAAAUGGGGAGUGCAGAAAAGCACAAAGAAUAAAACAGAGACAGCAGGGUUCAGGCUUCGAGUUGUGGUGCAAUUGGCCCACAUCCACCCCACCCUCUCUUCACGCAGCAGAUGACUGGGACAUAAAGAAGCUGAUGGGGCCACUGCCACCGAAUUUCCACCUGCAGCCCUUCUCGGGGGCCACCACCAUGCUCCUCAACAGCUGUCACUGACAGGACAGAGCUUGAGGAUCUUGAGGAGCUACUGACCCUGCAGAACCGCUCUGAGACCAGGGGGAGCUUUUCCAGUAGAAUGAAAGGAUUGCUUCUGCUUUAACCUCUGAUGCUUUAUCAAGGCCGAGCUGAGGGCUGCACUAUCGGGAGCUUGAUGAGGAAACUGAGGCACAGAGAGAUGAAGGAACUUGCCCAAGGUCACACAGCUGAGGAACCCAGGCACUCAGAUUCUGGGGCCUGCUCUCAUAACCACAAUGCUACAUCCCUGCCUCUAACAUCGGGACAACCAGGCCUUCCUCACAGGCAUUAUCGGGACUAUAAGAUAAGAUGCAUAAGGUUUUAUCUCCAGAGAGAAGGCAGCUAUGGUCCAAGGUCAAACACAGAGGCUACAACUAGAAACCUCUAGACCAAGUUUGGUCCAUGUGGUGUUCUCUAUAGAGUUUCUUUCUUUUUAAUUUGGAUUUUCAAUACUUUAAAAUUAAGAGCACACACAUAACAGUAUCCUUUUUCAGCUUCCUUAAACCAUAUCUGAACAUUUGGCCAAAGUAGAUCCCUGCUGGGGCAUGAAAUAAUCAGCUGAUGCCGUUUCCCUCGGUCCUCACCAUCCUCUCACGCCUUCCCCUCCUGAGGCUACCGUCAGAGGCCAUUUCUCAUCCUGCAUGCACUGUAGCAUUUCUGACACUAGGUACACUUCGCUCGCUAUCUGCCUGGCCUCUGUGGGCAUGAGGGUUUGUAGACAGAGCAAAACCAAGUAGUUUGUGGGGGUGCGUGCCUAUCAUUUCCAAAGGGAGCCACAGGUCGGUCAUUUGCUAUCUAUGAGAUUCAAAGCUCAGGGUCUUCUCAGAGAGUAAACUCACGAAGGUACGUAGGAAUAUCUUGCAGGCAUUUCUUUCCAGCAUGCCACAAACCAGUGGUCUCACAGGGCAUGAUGUUUUAGUGAGAGCUGGGGCUAAACAUAAUGUUUUCAGCUUUUUUUUCCUUGCAUUUUUUUUUUCUCAGCUCUGGUCUUCUUCUUGGCAUUUUUGACACAUACCACACGCUGGCCCAUCAUUUCCUUCUGGUUACCCAGGUGUUCCAAAAGAUCCCCCUCCAGUGAUACACUCCGUUCUCCAGGGCUCAGAUCUGAAAGUGUAGCUAUGUUACCUGGGAGAGAUGACAUGAACACACCAUUUUCCCAAGCAGGGCAACCAUCAAGGUUUACUCUGAUGGAUACCCUGACUGGUCAAUGGGCAGACAGGCCACCACCCCCUCCCCUCUGGUCUCUGCAGGAAACAGGUGGCACACACAGAGGAGAGUUACAUCAGAGUGCAGGGCAGGACAAAGGGGACCAGCAAGAAAUGGAGAGGCACCUGGGGUCAGCCCUUGCAGGAAGCCCUGACCACUCCCAAACUGAAUGGGAAAAGCGGGACAGGUGCUGUUGGACCCCAGAGACAGCUGGGGCAUGGAAAGAGGCUCUGCUUUCCAGAAGCUGUGGGCAGACAGCCAUGACCAGACCUGCAGUGGAGCAGGACCCUACAUGGCAAAAGGCUUGGCAGACGUGACAAAGUGAAGAGUCUUGAGAUGGGGAGAUGAUCCUGCAUUGUCUGGAUGGGCUGGGUGUGGUCGUGACAGUUUUCAUAAGAGGGCUGCAGGACUACACUUUCUUCCUGAGAGGGUUCCUAACUUCUCUGAAGUCAAGUUGAGCGUCCACAUCUAAAGCCCCAGGAUGAGCCUCCUGGUGGAGGAGAGUGCUCCUGCCUCUCCUGCCUCUCUUUAUGGAUUGUAUGUCAAGGAGACACCCGCAAGGACUCUGGUGGCCUGGACAUACUUCUGGAAGACUGACUCUUCCAGACUGAUGAAACCAAAGGACUGGACAGUGUUGAAUCCUUGGGGGGAAGAAAAACCAACACUUUUUUUUUAAGCUGACAGCACAUUCCAUCCACUCGGCAAUGUAGAACUAAUGAAGAUAUAAG
rnacentral:lncRNA from 1 species